GCCGAGCUCAGUAAUGCGAGCUUGUGACCCAAAUGGGGGCAAUAAGGUGAUUGGACAUUGGGCCUGACCGGCUUGCUGGGUCACUGGCGGCUCUUAUCUGGCUUGCCCGUUCCAAGUGGAGAGCUGAACCGUUCGGCUUGUGCGAAGGCUUGGGCUGACCGGUUCCUAAAGAGGAGGGCACCGCGUCAGGCUGGCUUCACAGAGCAGCGAUUACUUCCCUCUCUCUACAGUGGAAGGAUUACGAGCCGGUGCUUCCUUGGCCCAUUAAAGCUAGCUGGGCUUGCCCAAUUGGACAGUCACUUUU
rfam:Erythranthe guttata cultivar DTN x IM62 scaffold_121_contig_54, whole genome shotgun sequence.